UACAGAGGGGGCAAGCGUUGUUCGGAAUUACUGGGCGUAAAGGGCGCGUAGGCGGCCUGUUAAGUCGGACGUGAAAUCCCCGGGCUCAACCCGGGAACUGCGUCCGAUACUGGCAGGCUUGAAUCCGGGAGAGGGAUGUGGAAUUCCAGGUGUAGCGGUGAAAUGCGUAGAUAUCGGGAGGAACACCAGUGGCGAAGGCGGCUUCCUGGCCUGUUCUUGACGCUGAGGCGCGAAAGCUAGGGGAGCAAACGGG
rnacentral:rRNA from 1 species